UACGUAGGGGGCAAGCGUUGUCCGGAUUCAUUGGGCGUAAAGAGCGUGUAGGCGGCCUGAAAGGUCAGCUGUGAAAACUCGAGGCUCAACCUCGAGACGCCGGUUGAAACCAUCUGGCUAGAGUCCGGAAGAGGAGAGUGGAAUUCCUGGUGUAGCGGUGAAAUGCGCAGAUAUCAGGAAGAACACCCGUGGCUAAGGCGGCUCUCUAGUACGGUACUGACGCUGAGACGCGAAAGCGUGGGGAGCGAACAGG
rnacentral:rRNA from 1 species